GCGGACGGGUGAGUAAUGCUUGGGAACUUGCCUUUGCGAGGGGGAUAACAGUUGGAAACGACUGCUAAUACCGCAUAACGUCUACGGACCAAACGGGGCUUCGGCUCCGGCGCAAAGAGAGGCCCAAGUGAGAUUAGCUAGUUGGUGGGGUAAAGGCUCACCAAGGCAACGAUCUCUAGCUGUUCUGAGAGGAAGAUCAGCCACACUGGAACUGAGACACGGUCCAGACUCCUACGGGAGGCAGCAGUGGGGAAUAUUGCACAAUGGGGGGAACCCUGAUGCAGCCAUGCCGCGUGUGUGAAGAAGGCCUUCGGGUUGUAAAGCACUUUCAGUUGUGAGGAAAAGUUAGUAGUUAAUACCUGCUAGCCAUGACGUUAGCAACAGAAGAAGCACCGGCUAACUCCGUGCCAGCAGCCGCGGUAAUACGGAGGGUGCGAGCGUUAAUCGGAAUUACUGGGCGUAAAGCGCACGCAGGCGGUUUGUUAAGCUAGAUGUGAAAGCCCCGGGCUCAACCUGGGACGGUCAUUUAGAACUGGCAGACUAGAGUCUUGGAGAGGGGAGUGGAAUUCCAGGUGUAGCGGUGAAAUGCGUAGAGAUCUGGAGGAACAUCAGUGGCGAAGGCGACUCCCUGGCCAAAGACUGACGCUCAUGUGCGAAAGUGUGGGUAGCGAACAGGAUUAGAUACCCUGGUAGUCCACACCGUAAACGCUGUCUACUAGCUGUUUGUGGCUUUAAGCCGUGAGUAGCGAAGCUAACGC
rnacentral:rRNA from 1 species